AUUGAACGCUGGCGGCAUGAUUUACACAUGCAAGUCGAACGGUAACAGGCCGCAAGGUGCUGACGAGUGGCGAGCGGGUGAGUAAUGCAUCGGAACGUGCCCAGUCGUGGGGGAUAACUACUCGAAAGAGUAGCUAAUACCGCAUACGAUCUAUGGAUGAAAGCGGGGGACCGUAAGGCCUCGCGCGAUUGGAGCGGCCGAUGUCAGAUUAGGUAGUUGGUGGGGUAAGGGCUCACCAAGCCAACGAUCUGUAGCUGGUCUGAGAGGACGACCAGCCACACUGGGACUGAGACACGGCCCAGACUCCUACGGGAGGCAGCAGUGGGGAAUUUUGGACAAUGGGCGCAAGCCUGAUCCAGCAAUGCCGCGUGCAGGAAGAAGGCCUUCGGGUUGUAAACUGCUUUUGUACGGAACGAAACGGCUCUGGUUAAUACCCGGGGCUAAUGACGGUACCGUAAGAAUAAGCACCGGCUAACUACGUG
rnacentral:rRNA from 1 species